rnacentral:tRNA from 1 species
GCGGCUAUGGUCUAUCGGUAUGAUGCGAGCUUCCCAAGCUUGCGAGCCGGGUUCAAUUCCCGGUAGCCGCA